GGACCUUUAUCCAGAGAACAGGCAAGAGAGGAGAUAGAUUGGGGAGCAGGGAGAAGGAUAUGGAAGAAUCACAGGCAUCUAGCCUCGACCUGGAAGAAAGGCAGGCUUCUCUAUGCCACCUGAAUUCCUUGGCUUGCAGCCCCUUCUUCCAUCUUCAAAGCGAGUAGUUGAGUGUCUUCAAGUAUUUCUGAUUGUUACUCUCCUGCCUCCUUCUUUUACGUAUAAGGAUCUUUGUGAUUACAUUGGUCCCACCAGGAAAAUCUACACACCUGCAAAGUCCCUUUUGCCACAUCAUCGGAAGAAACAAAAACAAGCUGUGGUGAAGAAGAAACGUUUUCUAAAGCCUCUUUUAUCCCCAGGAUGGUUGAGAAGUCAGAGGCCUGCAAUGCUAGGAAGAGAGGGUCUAAAGUGUCCUUUUCACCGUGAUGUAAGUAGGCUCUCCAGCAGUCCCAGAAGACUUUCACAAGAAGAGUUUCAACAACAGAAAAUAAGCCUAAGUGAUUGUGUGAAUAUCACAGAGCAACAGAGAAAAUGUAGAUCACUCCAGUUCUAGCACAAGGUCGGGGAGGAAAAAGAAUCAGAGAGUUUGGAAUUUCUAAAUGCUCGUGUUUGAGAAAUGGGGAGCAUCACAAACUAACAGCAGAGGUGGACAUUUUUUACAGGGUAAAGGAUUCCCAUGGAACACCACUCGUCAAAUGCAAAUAAAAAUUGUACAAAGAAGGUAACUUCUUUCUCUGUCCCCACAUCUCUCCAUCUGAAACUUCAUUCUUCCAUUAAAACAGAAUUGUGCUUUGUGAUGUAUAAA
ensembl:lncRNA novel transcript (hCG2045843)